rnacentral:rRNA from 1 species
GUGGGGAAUAUUGGACAAUGGGCGAAAGCCUGAUCCAGCCAUGCCGCGUGUGUGAAGAAGGUCUUCGGAUUGUAAAGCACUUUAAGUUGGGAGGAAGGGCAGUAAGUUAAUACCUUGCUGUUUUGACGUUACCGACAGAAUAAGCACCGGCUAACUUCGUGCCAGCAGCCGCGGUAAUACGAAGGGUGCAAGCGUUAAUCGGAAUUACUGGGCGUAAAGCGCGCGUAGGUGGUUUUGUAAGUUGGAGGUGAAAUCCCCGGGCUCAUCCUGGGAACUGCCUCCAAAACUGCAUGACUAGAGUACGGUAGAGGGUAGUGGAAUUUCCUGUGUAGCGGUGAAAUGCGUAGAUAUAGGAAGGAACACCAGUGGCGAAGGCGACUACCUGGACUGAUACUGACACUGAGGUGCGAAAGCGUGGGGAGCAAACAGGAUUAGAAACCCCUGUAGUCC